GGGCGAUUAGCUCAGUUGGGAGAGCACCUCCCUUACAAGGAGGGGGUCACUGGUUCGAAACCGGUAUCGCCCACCA
rnacentral:tRNA from 2 species